rnacentral:rRNA from 1 species
AGAGUUUGAUCAUGGCUCAGGACGAACGCUGGCGGCGUGCUUAACACAUGCAAGUCGAGCGGUAAGGCCUCACUUGUGGGGUACACGAGCGGCGAACGGGUGAGUAACACGUGGGUGACCUGCCUUCAGCUCUGGGAUAAGCCUUGGAAACGGGGUCUAAUACCGGAUAUGACCUUGGGGUGCAUGCCUUGGGGUGGAAAGUUUUUCGGCUGGAGAUGGGCCCGCGGCCUAUCAGCUUGUUGGUGGGGUGAUGGCCUACCAAGGCGACGACGGGUAGCCGGCCUGAGAGGGCGACCGGCCACACUGGGACUGAGACACGGCCCAGACUCCUACGGGAGGCAGCAGUGGGGAAUAUUGCGCAAUGGGCGGAAGCCUGACGCAGCGACGCCGCGUGGGGGAUGACGGCCUUCGGGUUGUAAACCUCUUUUGCCAUUGACGAAGCCUGCAGUUUUUGCUGGGGGUGACGGUAGGUGGAGAAGAAGCACCGGCCAACUACGUGCCAGCAGCCGCGGUAACACGUAGGGUGCGAGCGUUGUCCGGAAUUAUUGGGCGUAAAGAGCUCGUAGGCGGUGUGUCGCGUCGGCCGUGAAAACUUUCAGCUUAACUGGGAGCGUGCGGUCGAUACGGGCAUCACUUGAGUACGGCAGGGGAGACUGGAAUUCCUGGUGUAGCGGUGAAAUGCGCAGAUAUCAGGAGGAACACCGGUGGCGAAGGCGGGUCUCUGGGCCGAUACUGACGCUGAGGAGCGAAAGCGUGGGGAGCGAACAGGAUUAGAUACCCUGGUAGUCCACGCUGUAAACGUUGGGCGCUAGGUGUGGGGACCAUUCCACGGUUUCUGUGCCGCAGCUAACGCAUUAAGCGCCCCGCCUGGGGAGUACGGCCGCAAGGCU